UACGGGGGGGGCAAGCGUUGUUCGGAAUUACUGGGCGUAAAGGGCUCGUAGGCGGCCAACUAAGUCAGACGUGAAAUCCCUCAGCUUAACUGGGGAACUGCGUCUGAUACUGGAUGGCUUGAGUUUGGGAGAGGGAUGCGGAAUUCCAGGUGUAGCGGUGAAAUGCGUAGAUAUCGGGAAGAACACCCGUGGCGAAGGCGGCUCUCUGGGACGGUACUGACGCUGAGACGCGAAAGCGUGGGGAGCGAACAGG
rnacentral:rRNA from 1 species